rnacentral:sRNA from 1 species
UCUUUCCUACGCAGCCGCUCCUGCCGCUGUGGUCGCUGGAGCUUUGCCUCUCUAGGCCGGCAGCGCCUCUCCUCCAUGGUCCUGUCUGUCAGCGCUGUUUUGGGAGCCCGCCGGUGAGGCCGGGCCACGCUCGGACACUUCGAUCGUCGAGUCUGUCACUGGGCAUGGCGGGUCAGUUCCGCAGCUACGUGUGGGACCCGCUGCUGAUCCUGUCGCAGAUCGUCCUCAUGCAGACCGUGUAUUACGGCUCGCUGGGCCUGUGGCUGGCGCUGGUGGACGGGCUAGUGCGAAGCAGCCCCUCGCUGGACCAGAUGUUCGACGCCGAGAUCCUGGGCUUUUCCACCCCUCCAGGCCGGCUCUCCAUGAUGUCCUUCAUCCUCAACGCCCUCACCUGGUGAGUAUCACCAGUUUUGCUAUCCAGCUUUUGGGCUCUUAGUGCUGGGACUAACUUCCUAAGUUUGAACAUGAGAAAGGCUGGCACUUGUUUCUGGGGAGUGGUGGAGUAAAGUGGGUGACAGAGGCCAGUUCUGGGACCGGCUGUAUAAUGGGCCUCCUUCCAUUGCUGUUUUGACUUAC